rnacentral:rRNA from 1 species
AUACGGAGGAUCCGAGCGUUAUCAGGAUUUAUUGGGUUUAAAGGGAGCGUAGGCGGACUAUUAAGUCAGCUGUGAAAGUUUGCGGCUCAAUCGUAAAAUUGCAGUUGAUACUGGUCGUCUUGAGUGCAGUAGAGGUAGGAGGAAUUCGUGGUGUAGCGGUGAAAUGCUUAGAUAUCACGAAGAACUCCGAUUGCGAAGGCAGCUUACUGGACUGUAACUGACGCUGAUGCUCGAAAGUGUGGGUAUCAAACAGGAUUAGAUACCCUGGUAGUCCACACAGUAAACGAUGAAUACUCGCUGUUUGCGAUAUACGGCAAGCGGCCAAGCGAAAGCAUUAAGUAUUCCACCUGGGGAGUACGCCGGCAACGGUGAAACUCAAAUGAAUUGGCGGGG